GACGAACGCUGGCGGCGUGCUUAACACAUGCAAGUCGAACGAAGUGGCGAACGGGUGAGUAACGCGUAAUCAACCUGCCCUUCAGCGGGGCACAACAGUUGGAAACGACUGCUCAUACCGCAUACUGAAGGUGGGGAUUGCGUCGGAUUAGCUGGUUGGAGGGGUAACGGCCCACCAAGGCGAUGAUCAGUAGGCGGACUGGGAGGAGGAACGGCCAAAAUUGGACUGGGACACGGCCCAGACUCCUACGGGAGGCAGGAGUGGGGAAUCUUCCGCAAUGGACGAAAGUCUGACGGAGCAAAGCCGCGGGAGUGAGGACGGCUUUCGGGUUGUAAAGCUCUGUUAAUCGGGACGCGGUACCGGAAUAGAAAGCCACGGCUAACUACGUGCCAGCAGCCGCGGUAAUUC
rnacentral:rRNA from 1 species